UACUAUAUAAUAGUUAAAACUUUCAACAACGGAUCUCUUGGUUCUGGCAUCGAUGAAGAACGCAGCGAAAUGCGAUAAGUAAUGCGAAUUGCAGAAUUCAGUGAGUCAUCGAAUCUUUGAACGCACAUUGCGCCCUGUGGUAUUCCGCAGGGCAUGCCUGUUCGAGCGUCAUUUCAACCCUCAAGCUCUGCUUGGUGUUGGGCCCCGCCCGCUCGCGGCCGGCCCUAAAGCCAGUGGCGGCAGCGUCUGGCUCCAAGCGUAGUACAGCUCUCGCUCUGGGGCUAGGCGGUAGCCUGCCAGAACUAACCCUUCUAUGGUUGACCUCGGAUCAGGUAGGGAUACCCGCUGAACUUAA
rnacentral:sRNA from 1 species